rnacentral:rRNA from 1 species
GACGAACGCUGGCGGCGUGCUUAACACAUGCAAGUCGAACGGUGAAGCGCCUUCCUUUUUGGUGGGUGUGGUUGAGUGGCGAACGGGUGAGUAACACGUGAGUAACCUGCCCCCUUCUUCUGGAUAACCGCAUGAAAGUGUGGAUAAUACGGGAUAUUCUGGGUCUGUCGCAUGAUGGGUCUGGGAAAGAUAUUGUUUCGGUGGGGGCUGGGCUCGCGGCCUAUCAGCUUGUUGGUGGGGUGAUGGGCUACCAAGGCGGUGACGGGUAGCCGGCCUGAGAGGGUGGACGGUCACACUGGGACUGAGACACGGCCCAGACUCCUACGGGAGGCAGCAGUGGGGAAUAGUGCACAAUGGGCGCAAGCCUGAUGCAGCGACGCCGCGUGAGGGAUGGAGGCCUUCGGGUUGUGAACCUCUUUCGCCAGUGAAGCAGGCCUGCCUCGUUUGUGGGUGGGUUGACGGUAGCUGGAUAAGAAGCGCCGGCUAACUACGUG